rnacentral:rRNA from 1 species
CGCCAGGGUAUUACGAGCCUCAGCUUAAAACCCAAAGGACUUGACGGUGUCCCACCCACCUAGAGGAGCCUGUUCUAUAAUCGAUACCCCCCGCUAUACCCUACCACUUUUAGCCUAUCAGCCUGUAUACCUCCGUCGUAAGUUUACCGUGUGAACGCUUAUAGUAAGCUAAAUGACUUUUCGCCAAUACGUCAGGUCAAGGUGCAGCCCAUAAAGUGGCAAGCAAUGGGCUACAAUUUCUAACCUAGAACAAACGGAUAAACUGUGAUGAAACAGUUUAGAAGGAGGAUUUAGUAGUAAAAAGGAAACAUGAAUGUCCUUUUUAAUUUGGCACUGGGACGUGU